CUCCUCCCUCAGGAUGGCACCUGGAGAGUUUCCAGUACUCUACCAGUCUCGGCUACGGGAGGGAGAGUCAAGCAGAGGCCUACCCAUUCCAUUCCUAGCUUGGGCACUGGCUAGCAAGUGGAAGGCAAUCUGCUACAAGU
rfam:Ornithorhynchus anatinus chromosome 7, whole genome shotgun sequence.